UACGAAGGCAGCAGUGGGGAAUAUUGCACAAUGGGCGCAAGCCUGAUGCAGCCAUGCCGCGUGUAUGAAAAAGGCCUUCGGGGUUGUAAAGUACUUUCAGUCGUGAGGAAGGUGUUAAGGUUAAUAACCUUAGCAAUUGACGUUAGCGACAGAAGAAGCACCGGCUAACUCCGUGCCAGCAGCCGCGGUAAUACGGAGGGUGCGAGCGUUAAUCGGAAUUACUGGGCGUAAAGGGCACGCAGGCGGUUAAUUAAGUUGGAUGUGAAAUCCCCGGGCUUAACCUGGGAAUGGCAUUCAAGACUGGUUAGCUAGAGUCUUGUAGAGGGGGUAGAAUUCCAUGUGUAGCGGUGAAAUGCGUAGAGAUGUGGAGGAAUACCGGUGGCGAAGGCGGCCCCUGGACAAAGACUGACGCUCAUGUGCGAAAGCGUGGGGAGCAAACAGGGAUUAGAUACCCGU
rnacentral:rRNA from 1 species